rnacentral:rRNA from 1 species
GACGAACGCUGGCGGCGUGCUUAACACAUGCAAGUCGAACGGAAAGGCCCUGCUUUUGUGGGGUGCUCGAGUGGCGAACGGGUGAGUAACACGUGAGUAACCUGCCCUUGACUUUGGGAUAACUUCAGGAAACUGCGGCUAAUACCGGAUAGGAGCUCCUGCUGCAUGGUGGGGGUUGGAAAGUUUCGGCGGUUGGGGAUGGACUCGCGGCUUAUCAGCUUGUUGGUGGGGUAGUGGCUUACCAAGGCUUUGACGGGUAGCCGGCCUGAGAGGGUGACCGGCCACAUUGGGACUGAGAUACGGCCCAGACUCCUACGGGAGGCAGCAGUGGGGAAUAUUGCACAAUGGGCGGAAGCCUGAUGCAGCAACGCCGCGUGCGGGAUGACGGCCUUCGGGUUGUAAACCGCUUUCGCCUGUGACGAAGCGUGAGUGACGGUAAUGGGUAAAGAAGCACCGGCUAACUACGUG